GUCCACGUAGCUUAACUUAAAGUAUGGCACUGAAGAUGCUAAGAUGAGUCCUAAAAAACUCCGCAGACA
rnacentral:tRNA from 1 species